GACGAACGCUGGCGGCGUGCUUAACACAUGCAAGUCGAGCGGUAAGGCCUUUCGGGGUACACGAGCGGCGAACGGGUGAGUAACACGUGGGUGAUCUGCCCUGCACUUCGGGAUAAGCCUGGGAAACUGGGUCUAAUACCGGAUAUGACCUCCUAUCGCAUGGUGGGUGGUGGAAAGAUUUAUCGGUGCAGGAUGGGCCCGCGGCCUAUCAGCUUGUUGGUGGGGUAAUGGCCUACCAAGGCGACGACGGGUAGCCGACCUGAGAGGGUGACCGGCCACACUGGGACUGAGACACGGCCCAGACUCCUACGGGAGGCAGAAGUGGGGAAUAUUGCACAAUGGGCGAAAGCCUGAUGCAGCGACGCCGCGUGGGGGAUGACGGCCUUCGGGUUGUAAACCUCUUUCAGCAGGGACGAAGCGCAAGUGACGGUACCUGCAGAAGAAGCACCGGCUAACUACGUG
rnacentral:rRNA from 1 species